AGCAGCCGCGGUAAUUCCAGCUCCAAUAGCGUAUAUUAAAGUUGUUGCAGUUAAAAAGCUCGUAGUUGAAUUUCGGGAUCAAUACGUCGGUCGUGCUUCGGUACGUACUGGCGUAAUUGAUUUCUCCCUUCUGACGAACCAUGAUGUCAUUAACUUGGUGUCAUGGGAAAUCAGGACUGUUACUUUGAAAAAAAUUAGAGUGUUUAAAGCAGGCUCACGCUUGAAUACAUUAGCAUGGAAUAAUGAAAUAGGACGUUCGAUCCUAUUUUGUUGGUUUUUAGGAUCAACGUAAUGAUUAAUAGGGAUAGUUGGGGGCAUUAGUAUUCAAUUGUCAGAGGUGAAAUUCUUGGAUUUAUUGAAGACUAACUACUGCGAAAGCAUUUGCCAAGGAUGUUUUUCAUUAAUCAAGAACGAAAGUUAGGGGAUCGAAGACGAUCAGAUACCGUCGUAGUCUUAACCAUAAACUAUGCCGACUAGGGAUCGGAUGAUGUUAAUUUUUUUAAUGACUCAUUCGGCGCCU
rnacentral:rRNA from 1 species